UAACCCUGUAGUCAGGUGGCUCAAAGAAAGUAAUUCCCAUCAACGUGAGCAAGUUCUCUGUUGUGUAUGGCUGGGGCAGAGCGCCGGACCCGCUCUCCCUUUUGCUCCAUUUCAUUUCCCUGCCCUCUUCAUUAGCUGCUGACAGUUUUAGCUUCCUACAUCCAUUUAAAGAGAUUCCCCCUGCACAUCAUCUGGGAUUCAUGAACUGCAGAGAUGUGGCUAUUUUCAACUUUAAGCCACAGUUAAUCCAUGACCUUGGUGCUUUUGUCUCCAGGUCUAAAUUAUGAUUCUUGCCAAGUGGACACAAAGACGACUGAAGCAAGAAUGUAGCCCAUACUCUGCAGUGGCCACUGCAAUUGUAAUUGAAUAAAAUCUGCUGACUGGGGGGGG